CUCUGGGUUAGUCGGGUCCUAAGCUGAGGCCGACAGGCGUAGGCGAUGGAUAACAGGUUGAUAUUCCUGUACCACCUAUAAUCGUUUUAAUCGAUGGGGGGACGCAGUAGGAUAGGCGAAGCGUGCGAUUGGAUUGCACGUCUAAGCAGUAAGGCUGAGUAUUAGGCAAAUCCGGUACUCGUUAAGGCUGAGCUGUGAUGGGGAGAAGACAUUGUGUCUUCGAGUCGUUGAUUUCACACUGCCGAGAAAAGCCUCUAGAUAGAAAAUAGGUGCCCGUACCGCAAACCGACACAGGUAGUCAAGAUGAGAAUUCUAAGGUGAGCGAGCGAACUCUCGUUAAGGAACUCGGCAAAAUGACCCCGUAACUUCGGGAGAAGGGGUGCUCUUUAGGGUUAACGCCCAGAAGAGCCGCAGUGAAUAGGCCCAAGCGACUGUUUAUCAAAAACACAGGUCUCUGCUAAACCGUAAGGUGAUGUAUAGGGGCUGACGCCUGCCCGGUGCUGGAAGGUUAAGAGGAGUGGUUAGCUUCUGCGAAGCUACGAAUCGAAGCCCCAGUAAACGGCGGCCGUAACUAUAACGGUCCUAAGGUAGCGAAAUUCCUUGUCGGGUAAGUUCCGACCCGCACGAAAGGCGUAACGAUUUGGGCACUGUCUCAACGAGAGACUCGGUGAAAUCAUAGUACCUGUGAAGAUGCAGGUUACCCGCGACAGGACGGAAAGACCCCGUGGAGCUUUACUGUAGCCUGAUAUUGAAAUUCGGCACAGCUUGUACAGGAUAGGUA
rnacentral:rRNA from 1 species